GUGAAUCAUCAAAUUUUUGAACGCAAAUUGCACCCUCUGGUAUUCCGGACAGUAUGCCUGUUUGCAGUUCAGGUUAAAUAAAAAUCGGUGUGUUUGCUGCCUUUCGUGGUGACGCACCGGAUUUGGGUCGUCUUGCCUUCGGUUAAGUAACCUAAAAUUUUGCAUGAGUUUUUUCGAACGUAUUUAAAUGAUUAUACGUACGUUUGCGAUAUCGAAUACUAGUUGUGGUCAUCCGCAUGAUUCUCGCCUAUAAUUUUUCAUCAAAAUAA
rnacentral:misc_RNA from 1 species